AAACAUCAUUACAUCUUGAGUCUUUUAAAGAAAUCUCAGCAGCUAUCAAGUUUUACUCGUAAGUUCACCGUAUCUAUACUUAAGCAGCAAGUUUGUCUUCUUUUUGAUGUUUUUCUCGUUUCCUUGUCAAGUAAAGCUGUGGGAUUUGAGUGUUUAUUUUUAAUAUAUUUGAGAAGGUGGGUAAAGAGUAAAGAUCCAAAUAUGAUAUUGAAAUUACCAGUAGGUUUGAAAUCUUCAAAUGGAGUCCAUUUGUUGGACUCUUGAGUACUCUGUGAUAUCUAAUGAGGGGAGGUGGUGUUUGGGGAAGGUUCA
rnacentral:misc_RNA from 1 species